CUCCAGCUGACGAGUCUCAAAUAGGAUGAAACGCACAUCCUGGAU
rnacentral:hammerhead_ribozyme from 1 species